AUCAGUUUUGGUAGUAACCAGCCACUCGUGUUACCUCUAGUGUUCCUAGGAUUAAUGUUAUGUCGUAGUGUUUUUGCUCUUAUAUUGGAUUUACCAUUCUUCAGGAUUCCUGUCGACCUCAUUGGAUACUGACCUCUACUCCAGGAUUCUGAUAUUCAGCACACGGACCAGGAUUUGGAUAUUCAGCACACGGACCAUAUCACCACCCUCCAUAACCCACCUCUCAUCUCACCCAGUGCCCCAUCCACCAGGACGCCCCGCUUCUCUCCACCUCUGCUCCCUCUCCUGCGCUUCCCCCGGCUCUCUACCUCUCCCUCCUCCAGCCAACACAUACACGCCCCACAACGCUGAGCUGUUGUUGCAGUUCCAACCACAGACUUAUCUGUGCACCUUAAGUUCCUCCUUAUAAAUAAAUCGUGUUUUCCAUCA